CCCCAAUUUUAGAAAUUUAUACAUAGCUAUCUAAGAGGCUUUGAAAAUCUUUGUAUCUUUUUCUUAAAAUAUACAUAUUCGUAGGUGCAAAAAAUGAUAAAACUCUUAUUUUAUAAAUAUAUAUGAUUUUCAAAAAAUAUAUUUAUGAAAUUACUUGUUAUAAUAAAAUAUAUUUUUUCAUUUCAUAUAUGCUGAUCUUUUAUUUUAUGAAAAAAUAUGACUUCAUCAAUAGCAGAUCGUAUGCAU
rnacentral:lncRNA from 1 species